rnacentral:lncRNA from 1 species
ACUAUUAAGCCCCCACUUGAGGGAUGCUUAUUUCCUUGGACAUGUCUAAGAGAGGAGCGUUAUAAGGCCUAAGAGAGGAGGGUCAUAAGGGUUUUUUAAGCUCGUUAAAAAUAGGUUUACCAGUAUCCCUCAAAGUCUUAGUGAUAUUGAUACACAAAUACUUGUAAAAAUACUUAGUUGUUAUGAUGAGUUCAUUGAAUUUUCAUUAUGUGGAAAAAAGGUGGAAACCUUAGAUGAAAUACUAGGCAGCUCGUGUGGAGGGGCAUGAAGCAAGUUAUAAUUCGAAUCCUUGUAAGGUAAGAGAAAAAC